rfam:Ovis aries breed Texel chromosome 9, whole genome shotgun sequence.
UCCCUGGUGGUCCAGUGGUUGAGACUCUGCACUUACACUGCAGGGGCACGGGUUCGAUCCCUGCUGGGGGAA